AUUGCUUAUCCCCUUUCUUUUCCCCUUCCUUUCCCCCCCCCUUUUAGAGUUUUGGAUCUGGCUCAGAUUGAACGCUGGCGGCAUGCCUUACACAUGCAAGUCGAACGGCAGCACGGGUGCUUGCACCUGGUGGCGAGUGGCGAACGGGUGAGUAAUACAUCGGAACGUGUCCUGUAGUGGGGGAUAGCCCGGCGAAAGCCGGAUUAAUACCGCAUACGAUCUACGGAUGAAAGCGGGGGAUCUUCGGACCUCGCGCUAUAGGGGCGGCCGAUGGCGGAUUAGCUAGUUGGUGAGGUAAAGGCUCACCAAGGCGACGAUCCGUAGCUGGUCUGAGAGGACGACCAGCCACACUGGGACUGAGACACGGCCCAGACUCCUACGGGAGGCAGCAGUGGGGAAUUUUGGACAAUGGGCGAAAGCCUGAUCCAGCAAUGCCGCGUGUGUGAAGAAGGCCUUCGGGUUGUAAAGCACUUUUGUCCGGAAAGAAAUCCCUGGUCCUAAUAUGGCCGGGGGAUGACGGUACCGGAAGAAUAAGCACCGGCUAACUACGUGCCAGCAGCCGCGGUAAUACGUAGGGUGCAAGCGUUAAUCGGAAUUACUGGGCGUAAAGCGUGCGCAGGCGGUGAUGUAAGACCGAUGUGAAAUCCCCGGGCUCAACCUGGGAACUGCAUUGGUGACUGCAUCGCUUGAGUAUGGCAGAGGGGGGUAGAAUUCCACGUGUAGCAGUGAAAUGCGUAGAGAUGUGGAGGAAUACCGAUGGCGAAGGCAGCCCCCUGGGUCAAUACUGACGCUCAUGCACGAAAGAACCCAA
rnacentral:rRNA from 1 species